rnacentral:ncRNA from 1 species
UCCCGACAAUGCCAACCCUUCUGUGAAGGGGGGAGCGGAAAGCGACGGGUCUUUGUGAGCAAAGACGGCCGGGCUGCCGAA